CAGCAGUCUGGCGGCGGUUAGACAGACAAGGUUAACAGCUAAAAUAAUUCAUUUAAGAUGGCACACUUCAAGCGUGAAAGAUCGCUGACAAAAGUGCCCGCACCCUGUUUCGAGCCAAAAAAACAGGAGGGCGAAAGUAGGUUAAGAGACAUCGCAAGACCUUCAAAACGAACUAUGCGAGUAGUUCACAGCUAAGUCUAUAUAGAUAUGCUGAAACGCGACGAGAUGGGCUGAUAGAGACAUGAAGAGAACACGUGCAUAACUGGAAACAGUAGCUUGUAGGGCAUGCAGACGCAAGUAGAAAGCACGUUCAAGAUUUGAAAUAAUCUUGAAGUUUUUGGCUCC
ncrna:Streptococcus mutans GEBRO RNA